GUGCUCGCUUCAGCAGCACAUAUACUAAAAUUGGAACGAUACAGAGAUUAGCAUGGCCCCUGCGCAAGGAUGACACACCAAUUUGUGAAGCGUUCCAUAUGUUU
rnacentral:snRNA from 1 species